rnacentral:lncRNA from 1 species
AGGAAAUGGCUGGGAGUGGUUGUUUGGAAUGUUCAUCCGUUUGGGAACAGGGAUGCUGGGAUUUGAUAUGGGAAGAUAGGAUUUGCUUGGGAUAAGAAUUUAAGCUGGUUCGGAUGAGAAGUUGACAAUGACGUUGGGAAGAAGAGAUUUUUAGUAAGAGAUGAAGGAUUGAUCUGUUGGGGUGAAGGGAUUUGAAGCUUAUCUAGAAGCUGAAGAAGAUCUUGCGGACGAUGGAAAAUGGGAAUUCGGCUGAAAGGAGAUGAGCUUGGGACGGGUUCUACGGAAUGGGGAGAUGUGAUCCGGUGACGCUGAACAGGUGAGAGAUGUUAGGAUACACGCGGGCGGACG